UGGGGAACAUUGCACAAUGGGCGAAAGCCUGAUGCAGCAACGCCGCGUGAGGGACGACGGCCUUCGGGUUGUAAACCUCUUUAGCAAGGAAGAAGCGAAAGUGACGGUACUUGCAGAAAAAGCGCCGGCUAACUACGUGCCAGCAGCCGCGGUAAUACGUAGGGCGCAAGCGUUAUCCGGAAUUAUUGGGCGUAAAGAGCUCGUAGGCGGUUUGUCGCGUCUGCUGUGAAAACCCGAGGCUCAACCUCGGGCCUGCAGUGGGUACGGGCAGACUAGAGUGCGGUAGGGGAGAUUGGAACUCCUGGUGUAGCGGUGGAAUGCGCAGAUAUCAGGAAGAACACCGAUGGCGAAGGCAGAUCUCUGGGCCGUAACUGACGCUGAGGAGCGAAACGGGUGGGGAGCAAACAGGCUUAGAUACCCUGGUAGUCCACCCGUAAACGUUGGGAACUAGUUGUGGGGUCCAUUCCACGGAUUCCGUGACGCAGCUAACGCAUUAAGUUCCCCGCCUGGGGAGUACGGCCGCAAGGCU
rnacentral:rRNA from 1 species